GCCGAUGUAGCUCAGCGGUAGAGCAAUUGAUUCGUAAUCAGUAGGCCAUCGGUUCAAAUCCGAUCAUCGGCUCCA
rnacentral:tRNA from 1 species